GAUGAAGAAUGUAGCGAAAUGCGAUAAGUAAUGUGAAUUGCAGAAUUCAGUGAAUCAUCGAAUCUUUGAACGCACAUUGCGCCCGCCAGUAUUCUGGCGAGCAUGCCUGUUCGAGCGUCAUUUCAACCAUCAAGCCCCAGGCUUGUGUUGGAGCCCUGCGGCUGCCGCAGCCUCCCAAAACCAGUGGCGGGCUCGCUAUCACACCGAGUGCAGUAGUUUACUCUUCGCUCAGGGCGUGUGGCGGGUACUAGCCGUGAAACCCCCAACUUCUCAAGGUUGACCUCGGAUCAGGUAGGAAUACCCGCUGAACUUAAGCAUAUCAAUAAGCGGAGGA
rnacentral:misc_RNA from 1 species